GUCCUGGGUUUAAAAAGUAGUAGCGCUGUUCUUGGGGAGAUUAGGGUGUCAUUGGGGACACGGCCCCUAUAGAGUGGUGAACUGACAGGGUUUACUCCAGUACACUCUGCUCCAGUCCGUAGGGGAGUUGACAGAGACCGAAGGGGAGACUAUAAGAGGAGGAACGUUGACGUGUACAGCGGAUGUAUCAGCACAGCGUUGAGUGAGGUUCACACAUACAAACCAGCAAGAUGAAGAUAGUGAUGUUGGCUGUGGCUCUGGCCCUGCUGUUGGCUAGUGGUGAAGCACUGGACUGUCUGCGCUGUGUGCCAACGAAGGCAGGAAGAGACUGUGAGGUGACAGUAGAAACCUGUCCCCCAGAGAAGGACGGAUGUGCAGCCGCCAAGUUCCUCAGAGCACCAUUUGGCCAUUUCCAGAGAUGCAUGGACAUGUCGGGCUGUAAGCAGUUCCAAACCAACGCUUACAUCAACAUGAAGUGCUGUGGCACUGACAAGUGCAACACAUUCUAGAAUCUAUAUACUGGUUAACGUUCUAGAAUCUAUAUACUGGUUAACGUUCUAGAAUCUAUAUACUGGUUCACGUUCUAGAAUCUAUAUACUGGUUCACGUUCUAGAAUCUAUAUACUGGUUCACAUUCUAGAAUCUAUAUACUGGUUCACAUUCUAGAAUCUAUAUACUGGUUCACGUUCUAGAAUCUAUAUACUGGUUCACAUUCUAGAAUCUAUAUAGUGGUUCACAUUCUAGACCAGGGGUAUUCAAAUCCUUUCAUGGAAGUCUGGAGUACUGCUGGUUUUCUGUUCUACCUGAUAAUUCAUUGUUCCCACCUGGUGUCUAAAUCAGUCACUGAUUAGAAAUGAAAUAAAUAAAAAGGGAGGAACUGGCUUUGA